rnacentral:rRNA from 1 species
GCGAAGCAUGAGCUGUGAUGGGGAAGGAAAUUAAGUACGGAAGUUCCUGAUUUCACGCUGUCAAGAAAAGCCUCUAGGAAGAGUAGUACUGCCCGUACCGCAAACCGACACAGGUAGAUGAGGAGAGAAUCCUAAGGUGAGCGAGAGAACUCUCGUUAAGGAACUCGGCAAAAUGACCCCGUAACUUCGGGAGAAGGGGUGCUCUAUUAGGGUGCAAGCCCGAGAGAGCCGCAGUGAAUAGGCCCAGGCGACUGUUUAGCAAAAACACAGGUCUCUGCAAAACCGUAAGGUGACGUAUAGGGGCUGACGCCUGCCCGGUGCUGGAAGGUUAAGAGGAGUGCUUAGCUUCGGCGAAGGUACGAAUUGAAGCCCCAGUAAACGGCGGCCGUAACUAUAACGGUCCUAAGGUAGCGAAAUUCCUUGUCGGGUAAGUUCCGACCCGCACGAAAGGCGCAACGAUCUGGGCACUGUCUCAACGAGAGACUCGGUGAAAUUAUAGUACCUGUGAAGAUGCAGGUUACCCGCGACAGGACGGAAAGACCCCGUGGAGCUUUACUGCAACCUGAUAUGGAAUGUUUGUACCGCUUGUACAGGAUAGGUAGGAGCCGAAGAGACGUGUGCGCUAGCAUACGAGGAGGCAAUGGUGGGAUACUACCCUGGCUGUAUGACCAUUCUAACCCGCCACGCUUAGCGCGUGGGGAGACAGUGUCAGGUGGGCAGUUUGACUGGGGCGGUCGCCUCCUAAAGAGUAACGGAGGCGCCCAAAGGUUCCCUCAGAAUGGAUGGAAAUCAUUCGCAGAGUGUAAAGGCACAAGGGAGCUUGACUGCGAGACUGACAAGUCGAGCAGGGACGAAAGUCGGGCUUAGUGAUCCGGUGGUUCCGCAUGGAAGGGCCA